GAUGAACGCUGGCGGCGUGCCUAAUACAUGCAAGUCGAGCGAACGGACGAGAAGCUUGCUUUUCUGAUGUUAGCGGCGGACGGGUGAGUAACACGUGGAUAACCUACCUAUAAGACUGGGAUAACUUCGGGAAACCGGAGCUAAUACCGGAUAAUAUUUUGAACCGCAUGGUUCAAAAGUGAAAGACGGUCUUGCUGUCACUUAUAGAUGGAUCCGCGCUGCAUUAGCUAGUUGGUAAGGUAACGGCUUACCAAGGCAACGAUGCAUAGCCGACCUGAGAGGGUGAUCGGCCACACUGGAACUGAGACACGGUCCAGACUCCUACGGGAGGCAGCAGUAGGGAAUCUUCCGCAAAGGGCGAAAGCCUGACGGAGCAACGCCGCGUGAGUGAUGAAGGUCUUCGGAUCGUAAAACUCUGUUAUUAGGGAAGAACAUAUGUGUAAGUAACUGUGCACAUCUUGACGAUACCUAAUCAGAAAGCCACGGCUAACUACGUG
rnacentral:rRNA from 1 species